rnacentral:rRNA from 1 species
GUCGGGAAUAUUGCGCAAUGGAGGAAACUCUGACGCAGUGACGCCGCGUGCAGGAAGAAGGUUUUCGGAUUGUAAACUGCUUUAGACAGGGAAGAAAGAAAUGACGGUACCUGUAGAAUAAGCUCCGGCUAACUACGUGCCAGCAGCCGCGGUAAUACGUAGGGAGCAAGCGUUAUCCGGAUUUAUUGGGUGUAAAGGGUGCGUAGACGGGUAUACAAGUUAGUAGUGAAAUCCCUCGGCUUAACUGAGGAACUGCUACUAAAACUAUAUAUCUUGAGUACUGGAGGGGAAAGCGGAAUUCCUAGUGUAGCGGUGAAAUGCGUAGAUAUUAGGAAGAACACCGGUGGCGAAGGCGGCUUUCUGGACAGAAACUGACGUUGAGGCACGAAAGUGUGGGGAGCAAACAGG